GAUGAACGCUGGCGGCGUGCCUAACACAUGCAAGUCGAACGGGAACUCCGAGAUGAAGUUUCGAUGGAUUCUUGGAAAUUCUAGUGGCGGACGGGUGAGUAACGCGUGGGUAACCUGCCCUUAAGAGGUGAAUAACAGCGAGAAAUCGCUGCUAAUACACCAUAUGCUUACAAGUAUCGCAUGAUACAGUGAGGAAAGAAAUUCGCUUAAGGAUGGACCCGCGUUUGAUUAGCCAGUUGGCAGGGUAACGGCCUACCAAGUCAUCGAUCAGUAGGGGUUCUGAGAGGAAGGUCCCCCACAUUGGAACUGAGACACGGUCCAAACUCC
rnacentral:rRNA from 1 species